AAUAAAUUGUGAAACUGACGCUGAUUGUCCACAAAUUCCAAUCUUGCAUCCUAUGGUUUAUAGGUGCAUAAACUACAAUUGUGUAUUUGACAGAGGGGAAGGGAAGCCACUUAUUGUAUGAGUAUGAUACCCCAAGAGUUUACAUACUCCAGACAGAAAAUAAUGAAUUCUUGCACUUGAAACAAUUCAACCCAAUAAUUGUAUGUUUAUUUUUUUUAUAUAUGGUAAAAUAAUGUAUUUUGAAAUUAUGACUUUGUACUCUACAAUACAAUAAAAUAAAAUAAAAUAAAAUAAAGCACUAAAUGACUUUGUACUAAUUGGAUACGAACCACACUAAAGUCUAUGAGUAAAGGUGAAUACAAUGAGUAACUGGGGCAUUCAUCUCGUACCCAAAGAUAUUCAUAAUGAAUUAAUGGAAUUCUCCACUCUCAUUCCUUCUUUACUACUUAAGGCUCACUGCAUGUGAUUCUCAUCAUAACUUUCAAGUUGUUGAGGAAGAAUUAUUGUUGCUUCUUGUGAUGAUGAAGACUUUAUCAAUCAUUUGAUUCAAAUUGCACUAAAGUCUAUGAACAAAGGCGAAUACCUUGAGUAACUGGGUCAUUCAUCCCGUACCCAAGGAUACCAUAGACAAGGAUAUGAAUUCUCCACUCUCAUCAUUCCUUGUUACUUAAGGCUCAUGGCAUACAACUUGAAUCAUGAUUGAUAAGUUACUGAUAGAGGCUUAUGAUUGCUUCAUUGUUGCUUUGUGAAGAGAGACUUGACAAUCAUUUGAUUUGAAUCAUGCUAAAGUCUAUGAAUAUAGGUGAAUACGAUGAGCAACUGUGUUAUUUGUCCCGUACCUAAAGAUAUUCAUAAUGAUUUAAUCGAAUUCUCCACUCUCAUUCCUUCUCUAUUUCUUAAGUCUCGUAUCACACAAUUUGAAUCUUGAUUGACAAGCUCUUAGAGAAUACACCUUCGAUGUGCCUUGUAUAGUAGUCCACUGCUUGAUUUGUCUGGGAUGCCUUGACUGGAAAUUUGAACUUGAGGCCUUGAGACCCACAACAUUACAUGAACUAGUCCUACCAAGUGAUCAAGGGACUUUUGAUCACUUAAAUAGAUUGAGGGAUUACACACAAUCAAAGGAUUUAGUUAAUCAAAAUUUAUUUUGAUCAACUUAAUCAAAGUGAUUGAAUUAAUUGUUAACUAUGUACAACCUAUCUAAAGAUCAAAUGAUUCACAAAUCUUAAGCUAAGGGAUCAUGCAAAUACAAGGAUCAAAUUAAUCAUCAAGCAUCAACUAUCAUAUGAUAAUCAAAUUGAUUAAGAAUGAUCCAUUAAUCUAAAUCAAACCCCAAUCUAAGGGAACAUGAAACUAUAUGAAUUUUACAAAACCUAAGGGUAAAAGGGUCAAUUUACAUGGAUGUGGAUUAAUUUCUAAAUCAAAUUCAAUUAAGAACUAACUAAAUCCUAAUUAAAUUCUAAUUAAAAUCUAACCACAAAUUCAAAUUAAAACCUAACUAAAUUCUAAUUAAAAAACCUAAUUAUUCUUUAAAAAAAACAAUUAAAUCCACAAAUUGAUUUUUAUGCACACAAAAAAAUCAACAAUUAAAUCAAGUUGAAGAAAUAAUUGAAAUGUAUUAACAAAAAAGAAAAGAAAAAAACAAGCAGCAAGUGUGCAUGGGCCAAGCUGGGGUUCCAAGAGCAAAUUCGUGUGGGCUUUCAGCCAUAAGCCCAAAGAUCCAAGUCUUAACUAGGAGGGGGUGCGCAUGGGAAUGCAGGAGUGCAGGCAACAAAUUUCCAUGGGCCUGGUCAUGAAGGCCCAAAGUAGGGUGCCAAAAAUGGCUAAACCUAACAAAACACGUGCAACACGUUUUUCAGCUUCUAAGAUUCAAAUACAACAAUCUGUCUUUGUCCUCUCCCUCGACCAUGCCAAAGUCCAUAAUCAGCGGUGGUGGAGUGGCCAAAUCCAUAAUCGGACCUACCAAAACACUCUCACGCUUAUGCUUAUCUCGAAUCAAAAUGAAAAGUCCAAGAACCCUAGAGCUAGGGGCUGCAAUUAAAUGGUAGAUAUGUGGAAUCAGAGCCAUGGAUGUUAGGGCUUUGAUCCACCUCACCACGCUCCACAACAUGGUAAUUCAAAAGAAGAAAAACGAUGAAGAUUGCUUAAGGACUCACUGGAGCGCCGCACCGGAACUUUAGAUAAUCUUCUCUGCACUGUUGCUCGAAUCUCCUCAAUCUUAUCCUUCUUCUUUCUUCUUAUGAGUAUCCUCUUCUUCUUCUUUCUACGUAUUUUGAGAGAUGAACUGUUUGAGAGAGGAGUAUGAAUGUGUGAGGGAAAUAGAGAGAGAACUCUGAGUUCAAAUGAGAGUGAUGAAUCUAUGUGGAUUUUUUUUGUAUCUCUGCGUGUUUGUGUGAACCUCUGAGAUGAAUGAUGAACACUGAAUUUAUAGGGAGUGAUUAUGAAACCAAUUCAUGCAGGUUUUUAAUUGUGUUCAGUUCGGGUAGUUUGUUGGAGUUUGUUAGAAAUGACAAUUAAGUUUGGAUUGAAUUUGGGGGUUAAUUUGGAAUCGAAUUUGAAGCUAAUUUGAGAAUGAAUUUGAGUUCGGAUUUUGAUUGAAGUCAGAGUCAAAUUUUAGAUAGGCUAGAUUGUUAAUUUGGCUUGCACUUCCAAUUCACAUGUUCUCUGAAUUUACUACUGCAUUUUUGGACAUGAUUCAAAUUUGUCCUGCCCCUUCACCAUUCUGCAGAUUUGCGUAGCUCAGUGUAUUAGUGGAUUGUUAAGUAUUUACUAACUGAAACCGCAGGUUAUGCUAAUGGUGGUUAACUGUUACAUAUGACUAGGUUAAUUGAUGAUGUGCUUGAUCAAAAAAUAUUAUUAUGAAGGGUGAAACCAGACUGCUAUGCAAUGCCAAAUGAUGAAUGGUUACUCAUGCUAUAUGAUCUCUGAUGGAUGCCAAAGUGGAUUACUCAUGUUGCCAUGCUUUCCAUAUGGUGUGUGUUAGGAUUGAAUAUUGUGGUUAACAUGCUGAAGUUGCAAAGUCAGGUUGGAGUGUGUAGAGUACUUGCCAUGAAUUGAUGCUUGGUUGGGUUGCACAUGUGAAUGCUAACCUUGAUCAUGUCGAUUGUUUUGCAGGCCAAUGGAUUCAAUUUAUGUCAAGAAUAUGGAACUGCAUAUGCUUUUUUAAUUGCAACAGAUUGGAUGAGUCUUGGCCAUGAAUUGGUAGCUUAGGAGUUAGGACAAGGUCAUAUGCUAGUUUGUUUUUUAUUUUCUCAUUUGUAGAGUGUGAUGUAUUAAUAUGGAUUAUGUACAAGAGUUUUGAAAUGAAUAAAAGUUCAAUUUCUGAAUGCAUUGAAAGUUGGUAUGAAAUUGCAUUGAAAGUUGGAAAACAACACAUUGAAUGAGUUUGAAAGGAAUGCUUGAAAAUUGGAUUUUGAUUUGAAUGCACCAAAUAAUGAAAAGAAUGAGAUUAACAAUUAAUUAAUUUCAAUGCUUACUAAACCAAAUCUGAAACUUGAACCAAAUGUGAAAUACGCCAAAAUCAAAUGGGCAUAUAAGUGGAUGGUCGACUUUGAUCAACUAGUUGACCAAAAAGUCAACAAUUGACCAAAGUCAACUGUGAGUUUUGAAUUAGGAUUUUUAUAUGUAAUGAAAACAAGAUAUGAUUCAAAUGAAGUAAUGGUUAAUGUUUAAGCAAUAAUGAAUGAACCAAUGGAACCAAUACUUGAAUGGAUCGACCAUCUUUGAUCAUUUGCACCACAUGAAUGAAGUGAAUCAAGACAUAUGGGUCUAUACAUUUGCAAAUACCAAAAGACCUAAGUCAAUGGCCUAUGCAAUGUUAAAUAGGAUGCACAUAUUGAUGCUUGAGCCAAGACUUGAAUCAGAUGAAGUCUCAACCAUAUAGUCAUGUAGAUUUGAUGGUGGAUGAUGCAUGCUAUGAUAGUCAAACAUCUCUCCCCGAUGAAUUAGGUUUUCCAACAAGCACAAGGUGACAAGUCAAGCCACAAGGCACAUUAGGACCAUAUCUUCCCUUAUUAGGGUUUCAUGAGGCAUGCCCUUCAAUCAAGGUAUCUGAAUCAAGCAUGAUGCUCCACAAUCAAGUCUCCAAUGUAUGAUCCCCCAAUUAGGGUUUAGGUAGCCAAGAUAAGGCCCAAAGAGUAUCCAUAAGAUCCCAUAACCACCCACUAAGAAUUAGGGUUUGAAUAACAUGAGGAGUGUCAUGAUGAGGUCUCAUUGAAUCCACAUCUCAAAUAUCAAGCAAAUUAGGGUUUCAUUCUCAAUAUGAUCAGAUGAAGAGCCAUAUCACAUUCUAGGAGUUUGACCCAUGCAUAAACCUUAUCUUUGCAAGCCACAGAGCUUUGAAUCUAUCAAUUAACAAAUGUCGACAUGAAUGAAUGCAUAUGAAUGAAACAUGAAUGUGUACAGAUGAAUCUCAAAUCAAAGGUUGAGUGAAAAAAAUAUGAAAAUGGGAGGGCAAAUUUUGGGGUAUGACAAUAUGAUCGGUGAAACUCAUGAUAUGGUAGUUGGUAAAGCUGGAACUGCUAAUUCUCUCCAUGAUAUUCACAGUGUUGUUAAGUCUAAUAUAGGUGCUGGUGGAGAUAUGAGUAAUGUUUCACUCAAGUCUAAACCUAUGAGAAAUCUUUAUGACAUUCUAAUGUCUUCCGAUAAAGAUUCCCAUAAAACAAAUUUGAGUAGCCCAGAUGGUGAUGACGAUGUGCCAAACAUCCUGUCUGAUAUGUGAUAAUAUGAAUUGAUGAAUAAAUGUGUAUAACUGAUCAUUAGUAUGCAUGUGGUUAUAGUAGUUUCAAUCUAAUCUCAACAUAUUUCCAUCAUUGUUUUAACACAACUUUUAUCAUUAUUAUUAUUGUUAUAGAAAUGUCUUGACAUGAAUAAUAUGGUGUAGAGAUUUUCCUAUGAGCACUAUGUUAUCGACAUAAACUAGAAAUAUCCUCAAGAAGUUUGAGAGUGUACUUUCGUUGAUUAACAACAAUUCCUUCAUCUUAACGAGCAAUCUCAAAUCCAAGGAAAAACCUUAGUUUACCAAGAUCCUUAAUUCAUAAAGUGUGGUCAAGAAAUUUCUUGACAUGAAUAACCUGGUCCGGAGAUUUGCAUGUGAGCACUAUGUCAUCGACAUAAACCAUAAGUUUUGUGAGGAUGCUUCAGUCUUAGUAUAAAGUGAGUAUUCAACUUGAUAUUAUUGGAGAGUUUGGAAUACCAAUGAUGGCUUGCCUGUUUCAAAUCGUAGAUGGAUUUGAGAAGUUUGCAAACUUGAGUGGGAGAAGCAUCAGAGGCAGGAUGACCAUGAGGGGGAGCCAUGUACACUUCCUCAUUUAAAUAUCCAAGCAAGGAAGCAUUAUUGACAUAUAAUUGGUGAAUAUGCCAAUUAUGGAUGGUAGCUAAGGCAAGGAGAACUCGAAUUGUAGUGAGUUUGGCAACUAGGGAGAAUGUAUCAAAGAAAUCCACACCUUCAAGUUAAGAGUAGCCUUUUGCAAUAAGGAGUGCCUUAUGUCUUUUGAUGGUGCCAUUUCCUCGAUGCUUAAGCUUAUAAACCCAUUUGCAUCCAACAAUAGUUUUACCUGUUGGAAGUUCAACAAGAGACUAAGUUUAAUUUUGAUCAAGGGAAAGCAACUCAGCUUUCAUGGCUUGUUUCCAACAAUCAUGUUUAGAAGCUUGUUUGUAGGUUUGAGUUUCAAUGUUAGUGGAGAUGGAUCAACAAAAAACAUGAUAUGAGGGUGUGCAAUGUUCAUAGGAAAACAUAGAAGAUAAAGGAUAUGCAGUAUGAGUAUGAGCAUCAUGAUUGUUAUGUAACACAUAAUUACAGUGAAAAUCCUCUAGGUAAGAAGGUGGUUUAGUAACAUGAAUAGAUUUUCUUAUAGGUAAGGAAGGAGGAGGAGAACUACUAGAGGAAAUUGAGGUAGGUUGCAUAAUAUUGAUAUCAUUAUGAUGGUCAUGAGUAGGAGAGAGUGGGGUAGGUGUCAUAUCAAUGGUUGCAGAGAAAGGUGAAAGAGAUUUUGGUGAUUCAGGAGGAUAGUCAAGGGGAGGGUUAGUUGGAGGGAUGGUAGGUUCUAUGCCAAGGUCUAAAGGUGGUUGGGGUUGAGGAGGGUCUGAUGCAGUAAUGGAAGUGGAAGUAUAGGGUUUAAGAGCAAAAUGUGUCUCAUAGAAGAUGACAUUUCGAGAGACAAAAACGUUAUAAGAGUUUAAGUCAUAUAGGAUAUAAACCCUUAGUUCCAUCUUUGAAACCAAGGAACAUAGCUUUUGUAGCCCUUGUAUCAAAUUUGGUUCUUUCAGCAAGGAGGGAAGAGGCAUAACAACCUUUAAGUGUAUAAUGGAUGGGGGUUCUUUGUGAAGCAUUUCAUAAGAGAUUCUAAAUUUGAGGAGGGGAGUACUAAGUCUAUUGAUGAUAUGGAUGGCAUGUUGGGUGCUAAAAGUCCAUAGGUUGAGAUGAAGGUUAGAUUGGAAAGAAAUGGAUCUAGCCAUGUUAAGAAUGUCUUGAUGUUUACGUUCCACGACACCAUUCUGUUGUGGAGUUUCAACACAUGUUCUUUGAUGAAUAAUACAUUUGGAAUGAAGAAAGGAAUCCAAAGAAAAUUGUGUGCCAUUGUCUGUUCUUAAACGUUUUAAGGUUAUGUGAAACUGGUUUUCAAUAUAGGCUAUAAAGUUGAUGAGUCUAGUUUUGGUUUCAUCUUUAGUUUUGAAAAAAAUUACCCAAGUGAACCUACUAGAAUCAUCAACUAGGGUGAUAAAAUAUAUAUGGCCUAAUAUUGAAGUAGUGGAGAAGGGACCCCAAAGAUCACCAUGCAAUAAUUCAAAAGGGGCAUAAGAAAUAACAAUGCUUAAAGGAAAAGACAAUUUCUUUUGCUUGGCAUGAUGGCAAGCAUCACAAGGAUUCUAAUAUUUUUUAUUUUAUAUAAAAGGAUAGUAUUUAAAAAUGGCAUGUAAGCCAACAUUAGAAAUAUGACCUAAUCGAUAAUGCCAUACAAGACAAUUAGUGUUAGUGUUACAAAUGAGAGAAAUAUUCUUAACAAAGGCAGUAUAAAUGACAUAUAGCCCUUGACUCAUUUUAGCUAUAUCAAUCAUGACCUUGAUAUUGUUCUGCAAGAUGUGACAUAUAUUAUAAUUAAAUUGCACAAAACAAUCAUGUGAUGAUGCAAGUUUAGGUAUAGAUAUCAAAUUGACAUGAAAUGAUGGUAUGUACAAAACAUGAUGCAAUGUAAGGUUAGGACAUAUAUUAUAAUUAAAUUGCACAAAACAAUCAUGUGAUGAUGCAAGUUUAGGUAUAGAUAUCAAAUUGACAUGAAAUGAUGGUAUGUACAAAACAUGAUGCAAUGUAAGGUUAGGACAAAUAUGGACAAAGCCAAAAAUGUAAGCCAUAAGUGUGGAACCAUUGGGAAGUAAGACAAAUAUAUAUGUUAUAGUAUGAUAUGACACAAAAGAGGUAAGGGUAAAGGUGAUAUGAUCAGUGGCACUUGUAUCAAGGAUCGACAUUGUAAGGGGCUUACCAUCAGAAGGUGAAGUCUUGGAUGUCAAGGCAAGAAAUGUGAUGGAAAUGGAAUUGUUGGUAGGGUGAGGAAUUUAUUGAGAUUAUUGUAACAAGUCAAGAAGACUGUGAUACUGAUCUUUAGUGAAACCAAAGGACUUGGCACUUGAAGUUUUUGCACCAGUAGAAUCAUUGUUAGAUAUGGAAUUGUCAGUAGGAGAAGAUUGAGAAACUUUGGAUUUGUUCUUGAAUCCAGGUGGAUAGCCAUGUUUAACAAAGCAAGUCUCUACAAUAUGAUCAGCUCUUCCACAAUAUGUGCAAAUACGAUUUGUGCCUCUAGAAAAUCCUGACCCUUUCCAUUUAGAUUUGUUCUGAACAACAUUAGCCAUAAGGGAUGAUGAAUGAUCAGAAACUUCAGUAGAUGGUAGAUCAAGGAGGGGUGUGGUGAAUUCUUGUUCUUGCUGGAUGAUCAUAAAAAAGACCAUGUCAAUAGGAGGAAGGGGGUUGAGAAGCAUAAUAUGAUACUUGGUGGCAUAAAACUUUUCGUUGAGCCCUUUAAGGAAUCAAAUCACAUAAUCUUGAUCACGAUAAAUUUGCAAAGAAGAAAUAGCAUUACAACUACAUUGGAUAGCAUAUUUUCAAUGUAGAACUGGUCGAUAAUUUUCCAGUUUAUCCCAAAGAUCCUUCAGCUUUGAAUAAUCAGAAACUUCCAUUGAUCCUUGCCGCAGUUUAUAUAGUUCUUCUUGAAUAUCAAAUAUUCGAAAGAUAUCACUUUAUGAAAAAUGAGUUUUCAGAUUGAUCCACACGCUUGCUACAAAAUCAAUCUAAAGGACAGAUCUGACAAUAAAUUCGGUAAUGGAUCUUUGAAGCCAUGCAAGAACCAUUGUAGUGCAUCUAAUCCAUGGAGCAUUGAUGAUCUGUGGAAGUAUGUUUAGGGAGAGUGCCAUUAAUGAAUUGUUCUUUGUUCUUGGAGAUUAAUACAAUAUGCAUGGAUCUUGCCCAAGAAUGAUAAUUCUUGUUGUCAAGUAAUGGAGAAAUAAGAACGAUAUAGGGGUUUUCAUUAGGGUGAAGAUAGUAAGGGUUGGUGGAGUUUAUGGAAAAAUCUUCAUAAGUAGGUAAAGCCAUGAGAGGAAAGGAAGAUCAAGAAAGAGAAUCAGAGGUUAUGAGGAAAAAGAAGAAGAAUCGACGCGGAAUUUGUUGCCGAUACCAUGUUAAUGGUGCAACCAAUACCCCAUUCUCCUUAAGAAAAGAAUAGGAUGAAUCUUUCUUACAAUUAUUACAAAGAGAUACCUCUUAUAUAGAGGUUGAGAGAAGUUAGUUGGUAACUAGCAUAACCACCUAAGCAAUCAGCUAACUAACUAUCAAUGUAAAGAAAAAGGAAAAACUAAUUAGCUUGCAUGAAAAGCAACUGUGAAACAUAACAUUAGUUUAUUUCACUUGUUAUUGCUAACGUGUUCGGUAGUUUUCAAGAAAAUUAUGUAGGUGAGGUAAAGGUUAAUUACUAUUUGACUUUGAGAUUGGUAGUAUAAUUCGCCACAACCUUAGAAAAGUAAAGCAACAAUCAAACACAUUUGUUUUUAUUUCUAAGAGAUUGGUAGUAUAAUUCGCCACAACCUUAGAAAAGUAAAGCAACAAUCAAACACAUUUGUUUUUAUUUCUAAACUCUUUGAAGAAAUGGUUGAUCAAUAGGAUCAUAACGACAAUUAAGUCAUCAACAACAAUGUUGGCGUAGGAUGAUUUGUUAUAGUGGUUUAAGGAGACUAAAUCACCUUGGAAGACCUCCAUGAAAUGCUAGGAAGAUGUGAAUGAAAACUAGACUCCUAUAGAUUAUAUAUGCCAACCCUUUUGGUGGUGUCAAUUAUGAGGAUCUCUAUAAUUAUAGGACUAAGUUUUAUGAGAUACAUGGAACUCUUAAAACACAAGAAGAAGCAAAAGAAGAAAUUUUGAGUUUUAUUAAUUUUUUUCAAAAGGGUUUUGGUUAGGCCACUUCUAAUUUUGUAAACUUUUCUUUUUAUUAUUAAUAUUUUUAUGAGGGUUGAAGAAGAAGAAGAAGAAAAUUAGGAUGCUAAUAAUUUUUUUCCAUGAAACUAUAUUCUUAACUUUAUCAUUGAUGUUUUUUUUUAAGUCUGAUAUGCCAAAUUUUAAGUUUUAUUAAUUUUUUUAAAGAGUUUUGGUUAGGUCUCUUCUAGUCUUUUGGAUUUCUCUUUUUUUUAUUAAUAUUUUGGUUUGUCAGGAUGCUAACAUACUUGAAAUUUUUAUUAAUCAUAAAGAUCUAUUUCUAUUUUUUAUAUUUUUUAAAUAUUGUUUUUUGUAAUCAAUACCAAAUUAAUUUUUAAAUAAUAUACUUAUUUUAUGGUUGAGGAAUUUGUAACAUCGAAGUAAUGUGGCUAAAACUCUAAUACAUUUUAAUAAAUCACACCAGUAAUAAAUUUUCUACUCACUCAUAAUCAAAUUAUUUUAUACAAAAUAUAUAUAUAUAUAUAUAUAUAUAUAUAUUAUAUUUCGCAUGUGCAUAACUAUGUUGUCAUGCAUUAUGCAUUAUUCCUAUGAAUAAUUUAUCAAAGUAAUAAAAUUUAUAUAGUAUAUCCAUUUUCUAUUGUGAAAGGUCAAUAGAUUAAUUUAAAAAAUAAUGAAUUAUAAAGUUUUGUGUGUUACCUUUUUAGUAAAUGUGUUGAAGUGACAAAUAAAAUAUAUGUUAAAAAUAUUAUAUAAGUUUCAUACAUUAUAAAUUGAUCAAAUCACAUCUUAUUUGUUGCAUGCAAAUUAAAAUAAAAAAUAUGGAUAAAAUUCUCAUGUUCGUUUAUGUCAUAGUUUUAUUUCUUUUAUUAUUUCUUGUUGAAAAGAAUGUUGACGGUAAGUCUUUUUUUUUUUUUUAAUUUUCUUCUUUAAUUUUUAGAUUUUUAUCCAAUAUUUUAUCAAUUUUAGUAACACUAUGGUAUUCACUUUUUUUCAAUACAGCAAUAAAUUGUGAAACUGACGCUGAUUGUCCACAAGUUCCAAUCUUGCAUCCUAUGGUUAUGGUUUAUAGGUGCAUGAACAACAAUUGUGUAUUUGAUAGAGGGGAACGGAAGCCACUUAUUGUAUGAGUAUGAUACCCCAAGAGCUUACAUACUCCAGACAGAAAAUAAUGAAUUCUUGCACUUGAAACAGUUCAACCCAAUAAUUGUAUGUUUAUUUUUUUUAUAUAUGGUAAAAUAAUGUAUUUUGAAAUUAUGACUUUGUAUUCUACAAUAAAAUAAAAUAAAAUAAAAUAAAGCACUAAAUAAUAUUUGUAGGUGUU
rnacentral:lncRNA from 1 species